GUCCACGCCGUAAACGAUGUCGACUAGCCGUUGGAGACCUUAGAGUCUUUAGUGGCGCAGCUAACGCACUAAGUCGACCGCCUGGGGAGUACGGCCGCAAGGUUAAAACUCAAAUGAAUUGACGGGGCCCGCACAAGCGGUGGAGCAUGUGGUUUAAUUCGAUGCAACGCGAAGAACCUUACCACCCCUUGACAUGCCAGGAACUUGCUAGAGAUAGCUUGGUGCCGAAAGGAGCCUGGACACAGGUGCUGCAUGGCUGUCGU
rnacentral:rRNA from 1 species